UACGUAGGUGGCAAGCGUUAUACGGAUUUACUGGGUGUAAAGGGCGUGUAGGCGGGAGAGCAAGUCAGACGUGAAAUUCCAGGGCUCAACCCUGGAACUGCGUUUGAAACUGUUCUUCUUAAGUGAUGGAGAGGCAGGCGGAAUUCCGUGUGUAGCGGUGAAAUGCGUAGAUAUACGGAGGAACACCAGUGGCGAAGGCGGCCUGCUGGACAUUAACUGACGCUGAGGCGCGAAAGCGUGGGGAGCAAACAGG
rnacentral:rRNA from 1 species